rnacentral:rRNA from 1 species
CCUACGGGGUGCAUCAGUGGGGGAUAUUGCACAAUGGGGGAAACCCUGAUGCAGCGACGCCGCGUGGGUGAAGAAGUAUUUCGGUAUGUAAAGCCCUAUCAGCAGGGAAGAAAGAAGACGGUACCUGACUAAGAAGCCCCGGCUAACUACGUGCCAGCAGCCGCGGUAAUACGUAGGGGGCGAGCGUUAUCCGGAUUCACUGGGUGUAAAGGGAGCGUAGACGGCCGUGCAAGCCAGGAGUGAAAGCCCGGGGCCCAACCCCGGGACUGCUCUUGGAACUGUGCGGCUGGAGUGCGGGAGGGGCAGGCGGAAUUCCUGGUGUAGCGGUGAAAUGCGUAGAUAUCAGGAGGAACACCGGCGGCGAAGGCGGCCUGCUGGACCGCGACUGACGUUGAGGCUCGAAAGCGUGGGGAGCGAACAGGAUUAGAUACCCUGGUAGUC